GACGAACGCUAGCGGCAGGCCUAACACAUGCAAGUCGAGGGGUAGAACACUUCGGUGUUUGAGACCGGCGCACGGGUGCGUAACGCGUAUGCAAUCUACCUUGUACAGGGGAAUAGCCCAGAGAAAUUUGGAUUAAUGCCCCAUAGUAUAUAACCUUCGCAUGUUGGUUAUAUUAAAGUUCCAACGGUACAAGAUGAGCAUGCGUCCCAUUAGUUAGUUGGUAAGGUAACGGCUUACCAAGACGAUGAUGGGUAGGGGUCCUGAGAGGGGGAUCCCCCACACUGGUACUGAGACACGGACCAGACUCCUACGGGAGGCAGCAGUGAGGAAUAUUGGUCAAUGGGCGCAAGCCUGAACCAGCCAUGCCGCGUGCAGGAAGACGGUCCUAUGGAUUGUAAACUGCUUUUAUACAGGAAGAAACCCUCCCACGUGUGGGAGAUUGACGGUACUGUAGGAAUAAGGAUCGGCUAACUCCGUGCCAGCCGCCGCCGUAAGAC
rnacentral:rRNA from 1 species